GAUGCUCUAGAACCAGAGGAAAAGGCUGGUAGUCACUCCUUACUGAAAGGAAGCUGGUGAAGGAGGCAGGAAGAAGCUAGCAAAGGUCCAGGCAGGAGGCCUAGAGACUCUUCUGGUUUGCCUUAGAAGAAAAGGACUUUAGCUUUGGCUGGCCAAAGCAACAACAAACUUUAAAUCAAUGGCCCAGCUUAGGAAAGAGACUCUCCAGUGGGGAAACUCAUCAGAGCCAUGCUUGGGGACAUCAGAGAGGGCAGGCAGUAUUUCAGAGAAGAUCUCUUGGACAUUCUUCUUCUUCUUCACCAGGCUUCUGAGUUCCCUGCAGUCACCUAUUAUCAGCAAGAUAUCCCACAAUGCAGUGUCAUUAGUGUUGAUAUGAACCAUCACCAGAGGAUCCUUGCCCGCUGACUUCAGAACCCUACCCAAUCUUAGUGACGUCUCAUGUCUUGGUUCCAAGAAGACUGCACGCCUGUUGUCUGCUUGUCCCUUGCAGAAUGUUCUUUUGAUUUUUCAGAGUACUGAAUCCCCAACAAGGAUUGUCUGUCCUCCUUGGACAGUUGGAGAAUUCUUUAUGGGCAAGCUUGCAUUUCUUACAGGCUGGGCCAAGCUGCCAUAAGUAUGUCCUGUACAUCUCUCUAUUCCCUUGGACCGGCUGGAUCUUGGGAGGCAUCUUCCACAGUUUCCAUGCUGACGAGCUAGUGUCUAUUGGAAUCUUCUAACUGUGUGGAAUUCUUCCUGGUCCUCUUUCUGGUGGUCACAGCCUGCCCAUCCUUACCUGUUUCCAGCUGUGAAGAAUACUGAUGUGAUCUCUUGCCUCUGUCAGUUACUGAAGGAACAGUAUUAGACUAUAACCAAUGUUGUUGUGCAUGCAAAACUUCUGAUGUAGAAAACACGUUUCUGAAAAAUUUAUAUUGAAAUAGACUGACUGUUGGCAGAUAUAUUUCUGCAAUGAGAGGAGGGCGUUCUACUCUGGAACAGAGCUCAGAAUAUUGUGUAUGAAACUUUAAUACAAUCCAUCCCUGUUUUUAUACUAUUGG